GAUUAACGCUAGCGGCAGGCCUAAUACAUGCAAGUCGAACGGUAACAGGUCCAGCAAUGGAUGCUGACGAGUGGCGCACGGGUGCGUAACACGUAUGCAACCUACCUUAGACUGGGGGAUAGCCCCGAGAAAUCGGGAUUAAUACCCCAUACAAUUACGAUAAGGCAUCUUAUUGUAAUGAAAGCUCCGGCGGUCUUAGAUGGGCAUGCGCGACAUUAGCUAGUUGGUGAGGUAACGGCUCACCAAGGCUGCGAUGUCUAGGGGUUCUGAGAGGAUUCACCCCCACACUGGUACCUGAGACACGGGACCAGACUCCUACGGGAGGCU
rnacentral:rRNA from 1 species